GCCUGCAAAAUUCCAUGGCAUAUUGGAUCUGGCUUGAAGACCAAGAAUUACCAACCCACCGCUAGAAAGGCAAGCCCAUGUUAAUCCCAAUGCAAAGAAAGAGCUUGUGGAAUAAUGAAGAAUGACACCUCUGCUAUCUGGAUGCACUGAGGGGGAGCUUUUGUUUGGGAGGAACACGGGGCAUGGCCCAGAUGCACCCACAGAAGCACCAGUAUUUGGCCAUUUGGAUUUCACCUACUGGAUGAGAUGAAACAAGGCCAUGUGUUUUUCAUCACAGUUGCUAUUAGAGAAGACUAUGAACUGUCAGCAGUGGAAGGGGGACAAGACCCACUUUCUAUCACGACUGCCACCAAUGCAAGUCACCAAGGGAGAGGCCAAUCCAGCAUGUUAACUUUCAAUCAAGAACAAUGUACACUAUGUAUGUAAAGAUUUUCACACCUUUUCAACCUCAAAUGCUGUUUAUGGUCAAAAUCUUCCAAAAUGGAGUUCAUCUAACUUUUGGACUUUUACUGGCUUUGAAUAAAGUAAUUUGCAAAAAGUG